rnacentral:lncRNA from 1 species
GCAGCCCUGGGAGUUCACCAGAUGAAGGUCCCUCCAGGCUCCCUCUCCAACACGCCCCAUGGAAGGGAAAACAAAGCCCUUCAGGAGGGCAUAUUUUGCUUUUAAAUUGCAAAGCCGAGCUUUAUCACAAUGCAAACAAAAGAUUUCAGGGUAGAUACAAGGUGGAGGUGAUUGGGGACUAUUAGCUACCCACAUUUUUCAAAUGGAAAUUCCAAGCUCUUCUGAACAUGUUGUGUUUUGAUAAAUUUUGCCACACCAGCCUUUUUUGCAGAGACAUUUGGGGAUUGAGACAACAAGUCCCUAUUUGCUAUUCAAACACAGCUUAAAGGUCAGGUUUGUGCCCAAAAGAAAGCAGACUCUUAGCAAAACCAUUCAGGUGGCUUUCUUGAUCUGAAGUUAUGUGGUAACCAUCAGGGUUUUUGUGAGCUCAAAGCUAUCUCUGCGUGACAUGGGACCUUGCUUGCUUUGCAAGUUAAUUUUACAACUUGUUUGCAGCUGUGGCUUCUUUCUUGUUUUCCUAACCCAUUGCUGUUAAAAAUUGAAAGUGGUUCAAGUCCCAGGUGAAAUAACUCCCUCGGCUGACCCUGUUAAUGACAGAUCUGUGCUCUUGCCUUGCCCUGCCUUCACCGAGUCAGUUGGCUUCCUUGUGCUGCCAUCUACAGAGCAAGCAACAGCUGCUCCUUCUAUGGCCCUCGCAAGCUUGUGCUGAAGGUGCAACAGGAAGCGUAGAAUGUCCCAAGUUGGAAUGGACCCGUAAGGAUCAUUGAGCCCAACUCCUGACUCCACACAGGACCACCCAAAAAUGAGACCAUAUGACUGAGAGCGGUGUCCCAAUGCUCCCUGAGCUCCGGCAGCUCAGGGCCGUGCCCGCUGCCCUGGGCAGCCUGUUCCAUGCCCACCGCCCUCUGGGACAGAGCCUUUCCCUAACCCCUGGCUCUCUCAGCAACAAAUGAAAUGUUACACAACCUCCCUUUUGGAAACCACAUGCUAACGGUCGGACGCUUAUUAUCCUGAUUGGUUUAGCGUUGCAUUUUGGCUGAUGUGCAAAAGCCUCACACAAAGGACGCAGUGUCACAUGAGCUGCAGCUGAGCAGUAACAUUAUAUAAGGCUAAGGAAGGGAGGAGAGAGCAUGGAUCCCUGCAAAGGCUGCGGUUGUCAGGGGCUCUGUCAGUGCUGCAGCUCCACUUCAGCAUCCUGAAGGACUUAGAAUCACUUUUUUGACCCAACAAGUCUGCUGCAGGAUGGCCCAUGUUCUGGGCAGGGGACAAUGGCAGGCAAAGCAUGUCAGGGCCUUGGUGCUCAGAGGAAGGAAUUCUUCACCAGCGUGUCUUUGUCCA